AUGGUGCAGGAGCCGAGCAGCAGCAGCAACCACCACCUGCAGCAGCAGCUGGCCAAGUACGGCGGCGGGAACGGCAACGGCAACGGCAACGGCGCGGCCACCGGCGUGGCGCGGGCGUCGAGGAAGAACAAGCCCAAGAAGAUCCCGCAGCGCGGCCUCGGCGUGGCGCAGCUCGAGAAGCUCCGCAUCGAGGAGCAGAAGAAGAUGGGGGGAGGGCCGUCCGCGGCCACGCCGUCGUCGCACGCGCUCAACGGCGGCGCCCUCUGCCACCUCCCCGCGCCCACGCUGCACCAUCACCCGCCGCCGCCGCCGCCGCCGCUGAGCGCCCUCUCGAGGCCGGCCGCCGCGGACCACUGCGGCUUCCCGCCGGCGCUCUGGAGCCCGGCGGAUCCGGCGAAGCACCCGUACAAGAGAAACCUCUGCCCGCAACCUCCACUCCCAAUGGUGAGCACGGGCCUGUCCCUGACGGCGCCGUCGAGCCACCCACCGGAGCCCCCUUCAAACCAAAUGUACAGCACCAGGAGGAGGAGCAGCGCGGCGGCGCCGGCGCCGACGGAGGACGAGAGGGAAACGGCCGGCGUGGAUAGGUCCUGGCCCUUCAUGUUCGAGGGGAUGACCCCAUUCACGACGACGAGCAAAGCCUUCCCCCCUCCUCCGUUGCCGCCGUUCGCCGUCAGGACGGCGAGCGAUUCCGGGCUGGCCGAUGUUACUCCUGACCUGAGCAGAUACGAGUUCAGAGCGACCAAUUAUUUCAGCAGUGCAAGUGCGUACCCAAGUUGUUCAGACUGGACGCCAGAGUUCGGUCACUGCAAGGACACCGGCCGAAGCAGAGACGCUGGCUUGCUCACCCUGAGCUCGCGGCCUCCACAACUCAUGAGGCAGCCUCAUGUGGUGCCAUCAAUGCACAUCCCGGAGUACGGCGACUUCAGUGCCAGCGCCAUGCCAUCCCAGCUCGGGAGCGUUUCCGCUUCGCCGUCAUCGUCGGCCCUGCCAUUCUACAACUUCCUCCCGAUCGGCCCGGUCGACCGUGAGAGGGCCCCGAGCGAGCGGAAGGCCGACGUGUCGGAUGGGGAAAUCGACUUGGAGCUCAAGCUGUGGAAGGGCUGA
rnacentral:rRNA from 1 species